GAUGAAGAACGUAGUGAAAUGCGAUAAGUAAUGUGAAUUGCAGAAUUCAGUGAAUCAUCGAAUCUUUGAACGCACAUUGCGCCCCUUGGUAUUCCGAGGGGCAUGCCUGUUCGAGCGUCAUUAUAACCCCUCAAGCUCAGCUUGGUAUUGGGGCCUGCCAUCCUGGCAGCCCUUAAAAUCAGUGGCGGUGCCAUCCGGCUCUAAGCGUAGUAACUCUUCUCGCUAUGGAGUCCUGGUGGAUGCUUGCCAUUAAUCUUUUAACUUCUAUGGUUGACCUCGGAUCAGGUAGGGAUACCCGCUGAACUUAAGCAUAUCAUAAGCGGAGGA
rnacentral:misc_RNA from 1 species